rnacentral:rRNA from 1 species
GAUCAUGGCUCAGAUUGAACGCUGGCGGCAUGCUUUACACGUGCAAGUCGAACGGCAGCGCGGGGAGCUUGCUCCCUGGCGGCGAGUGGCGCACGGGUGAGUAAUACAUCGGAACGUGUCUUCUAGUGGGGGAUAACUGCCCGAAAGGGCAGCUAAUACCGCAUGAGAUCUGAGGGUGAAAGCGGGGGAUCGCAAGACCUCGCGCUGGAAGAGCGGCCGAUGUCCGA